rnacentral:lncRNA from 1 species
CUACUGUAUUAUAUUUGUAUUGGUAUAUUGAAAGCAUUUUGCAGACCCAGAAGAGAAUAAAUAAUAUAAUAAUUAUAAAAGGAACCAUACUAUGGGAAGAGGUCACUCUAUUAAAUUGCUAAGGGGUUAAACUCAUUUUUGAUAAGCAUAUGAAAUUUAGUUUUUGUGGUUAGAAUUUUUGAUACUCAAUUUGAACUCAAUUGAAGUAUUACAACCAUAUCCUUGCAGGUAUAGGAAACAGCUGCAAUAUGAUUUUAAUAUUUGCAAUAUAUUAGUGUUCUGAUAAUGGAAAAGUUCCUAACCGCAUGUCUGUAUUACACCUAU